rnacentral:lncRNA from 1 species
CAAAUCAUAGUCGGAUUUUUUUUAUCGGUUUGACUCGAAUUAUCGGGUUGGUGCGGUUUAUCGGUUUUCUUUGUACACCCCUAGUCAUGUAUCUGUGUAAAUAUACAUAUACUAAAGCAAUGGCACCCGAGAUUCAGACGGGUUCCAGUGGUUCACCGUCCCUUCUUAAGGCUACCAUUGACCUCAUGAAUCCGAGGUUCAAUUCCCUUUAGGAGUUCUUUCUUUCUUUCUUUCUAUUUUUCUACUAAUUAAGAUUUUCCUUUAUUUUCAAUUGGCUCUACAGCCUCACCUCUUUUUCGUU